AAAUCAUGCUAUACUAUGCAAAUCGACUAUGUAUGAAACUUGCUGAAGUUUAAUGCCUUUGGAUGUAAAGCCACAAGGAUACCUAGAAAAUAUGUCACUGUGGAAUUGUCAGUGUUGCUGUUAACUACAGUACGACAGCUCUAACAGAUACACAUAUUCUUCACAUAUAUCCUAUAUUUCCCCCUUUUUAUUUAUUUAAAAGAAAAAACAUCUUAGAAGGAGAGAGACGAGCAUGUCAUUUUCCAGACCUUCAGAUUGUUAGCCUGGUCGUGUGAAGAGAAAUCUGAAAAUUAUGCUGUGCUUUAUUCUAAAGAAUCUGAGAAGCCAGACUUCAAGUGUCCUGUCUCCAUCCAGAUUGCGCAUGUUGGGAAUUUGAGUGAGGUUUCAGGUGGGUCCCUGCUCACAUGCCUACCAGACAUCAUCUGUGGUCAGGACCACUGUCCCACAGCGCUGCAGCUUUUGGCCGAAACAAGAUGUCAUGAGAAAGUCUCCUUCACCUCUAUGUUGUCAGCACGGAGCACAAAAAGUCAGUAAAGUUCAACGAAAUCUCCCCACCAUGAGAGAAUAUAAAUAAGCUUCAAGAUAUUGGCUUGCUUCUGAUGUAG
rnacentral:lncRNA from 1 species